rnacentral:rRNA from 1 species
AACGGACGCUGGCGGCAUGCCUAACACAUGCAAGUCGAACGAGACCUUCGGGUCUAGUGGCGCACGGGUGCGUAACGCGUGGGAACCUGCCCUUAGGUUCGGAAUAACUCCCCGAAAGGGGUGCUAAUACCGGAUAAUGUCUUCGGACCAAAGAUUUAUCGCCUUUGGAUGGGCCCGCGUUGGAUUAGCUAGUUGGUAGGGUAAAAGCCUACCAAGGCGACGAUCCAUAGCUGGUCUGAGAGGAUGAUCAGCCACACUGGGACUGAGACACGGCCCAGACUCCUACGGGAGGCAGAAGUGGAGAAUAUUGGAAAAUGGGCGAAAGCCUGAUCCAGCAAUGCCGCGUGAGUGAUGAAGGCCUUAGGGUUGUAAAGCUCUUUUACCCGGGAUGAUAAUGACAGUACCGGGAGAAUAAGCUCCGGCUAACUCCGUG